GCCGACGUGGUGAAAUUGGUAGACACGCCAUCUUGAGGGGGUGGUGACUUAGGUUAUGCUGGUUCGAGUCCAGUCGUCGGCACCA
rnacentral:tRNA from 1 species